rnacentral:rRNA from 3 species
UAACGACUCUCGGCAACGGAUAUCUCGGCUCUCGCAUCGAUGAAGAACGUAGCGAAAUGCGAUACUUGGUGUGAAUUGCAGAAUCCCGUGAACCAUCGAGUCUUUGAACGCAAGUUGCGCCCUAAGCCGUUAGGCUGAGGGCACGUCUGCCUGGGUGUCACG